AUUGAACGCUGGCGGCAUGCUUUACACAUGCAAGUCGAACGGUAACAGGCCGCAAGGUGCUGACGAGUGGCGAACGGGUGAGUAAUGCAUCGGAACGUGCCCAGUCGUGGGGGAUAACUACUCGAAAGAGUAGCUAAUACCGCAUACGAUCUAUGGAUGAAAGCGGGGGACCGUAAGGCCUCGCGCGAUUGGAGCGGCAGAUGUCAGAUUAGGUAGUUGGUGGGGUAAAGGCUCACCAAGCCAACGAUCUGUAGCUGGUCUGAGAGGACGACCAGCCACACUGGGACUGAGACACGGCCCAGACUCCUACGGGAGGCAGCAGUGGGGAAUUUUGGACAAUGGGCGCAAGCCUGAUCCAGCAAUGCCGCGUGCAGGAAGAAGGCCUUCGGGUUGUAAACUGCUUUUGUACGGAACGAAACGGCUCUGGUUAAUACCCGGGGCUAAUGACGGUACCGUAAGAAUAAGCACCGGCUAACUACGUG
rnacentral:rRNA from 1 species